rnacentral:lncRNA from 1 species
UUUCCGUUGCAUCUGUUACAAGAGAUGCAAAGGCAGAUGCAGGAAAUGCGGGCAGAGAUGGCAGCGAUGAGGGCCGAACGAGGUAAUGGAGGUGGGGGACCUUCAGUUCGAUCAGUGAAUGUUGAAACCGUGAACUCUAGGAGUGAAAAGGAUAAUCUUGAAACCCAAGAAAAUGGAACAAGAGGGGACAACAAUGGGGGAUCUGGCAUGCGGGGAGGUGAUAACGGUUGAAAAACAGUUAUUUUCAUAUGUCAAUUUAGACCUAAUUACACCCUCUAAGGCUUAGAAUGAGCUUAGAAUCAUGCAAAAUUCAAUAAAUGAGUCAGUCGAGAGUCAAAAGUUGUUUCUAGAGAUAUUAUGCUUGUUUUGCAUUGUUUUGCAGUGAUUUUGAUGAAAGUGAAGAUUGGGAUUGAAGAUGAAGGUCUUAGACUCAGGACAGAGGAAGAAAACUGAAGAAAAGAAGAG